rnacentral:rRNA from 1 species
AUGGAGCAGUCGCCGACGCAGUCGGCCGAGUCCACCGGUAAGGAGAACCCGGAGGCACCGGGAUGGACAAGAAGGUUACGAAUUGGGCGUGCCCCUCCGGAUAGAGGACCCUGUGCUGGUAGAGUCACUCAUUUAGAGGAAACAAUAAGGAGAUACGCUGAUAAACAGUCGGACAAUGUAAUAAAGCCAAAGAUUGGUAUGAGUUUUGAUUCCUUUGGAGAAGCGUACGAUUUCUAUAACUUGUAUUCUUGGGAGGUUGGAUUUGGUAUAAGAUAUGGCAAGAGUCGUUUGAACGUCGAGCGGACAAAGUGUUUGCAAGAGAUCGUCUGUGGAUGCUCGGGGAAACCAGAGCAACAGAAUAGCCGGUCUUGCCGCUGCGAGUGCCCUGCGAUGACACAGGAGGCAAGAGAAAGGAGUCCUUGA